rnacentral:rRNA from 1 species
AUUGAACGCUGGCGGUAUGCUUAACACAUGCAAGUCGAACGAUGAGAAAGAGCUUGCUCUUUCGAUUAGUGGCGGACGGGUGCGUAACGCGUAGGAAUCUACCUAUUAGUGGGGGACAACUUAGGGAAACUUAAGCUAAUACCGCAUACGCCCUACGGGGGAAAGAAGGGGAUCGCAAGACCUUUUGCUAAUAGAUGAGCCUGCGUCGGAGUAGCGAGUUGGUGGGGUAAAAGCUACCCAAGGCGACGAUCCUUAACUGGUUUGAGAGAAUGAUCAGUCACACUGGAACUGAGACACGGGCCAGACUCCUACGGGAGGCAGCAGUGGGGAAUAUUGGACAAUGGGCGAAAGCCUGAUCCAGCAAUACCGCGUGUGUGAAGAAGGCCUUAGGGUUGUAAAGCACUUUCAAUUGGAAGGAAAACCUCGAAGCUAAUACCUUCGAGUUUGACAUUACCUUUAGAAGAAGCACCGGCUAACUCCGUGCCAGCCGCCGCCGUAA